rnacentral:rRNA from 1 species
UGGGGAAUUUUGGACAAUGGGCGAAAGCCUGAUCCAGCAAUGCCGCGUGUGUGAAGAAGGCCUUCGGGUUGUAAAGCACUUUUGUCCGGAAAGAAAUCCUUGGCUCUAAUACAGUCGGGGGAUGACGGUACCGGAAGAAUAAGCACCGGCUAACUACGCGCCAGCAGCCGCGGUAAUACGUAGGGUGCAAGCGUUAAUCGGAAUUACUGGGCGUAAAGCGUGCGCAGGCGGUUUGCUAAGACCGAUGUGAAAUCCCCGGGCUCAACCUGGGAACUGCAUUGGUGACUGGCAGGCUAGAGUAUGGCAGAGGGGGGUUAGAAUUCCACGUGUAGCAGUGAAAUGCGUAGAGAUGUGGAGGAAUACCGAUGGCGAAGGCAGCCCCCUGGGGCCAAAUACUGACGCUCAUGCACGAAAGCGUGGGGAGCAAACAGGAUUAGAUACCCUGGGUAGUCCACGCCCUAAAACGAUGUCAACUAGUUGUUGGGGAUUCAUUUCCUUAGUAACGUAGCUAACGCGUGAAGUUGACCGCCUGGGGAGUACGGUCGCAAGAUUAAAACUUAAAGGAAUUGACGGGGUCAUAGCUGUUUCCU